GGCACACUAGUGCCUCGGAGAGGGACCACACUGGCAGAUGGAAACGACCACAAAAGCCACAGAGAAAGUGCAGGCUUCCAGAGGCAACAAGUUGGGAUGGCCAAUGGUGAGCCUGACUGGUGGGAGGAUGGGCAGGCACCGUGGAGGAUCCUAGGCCCAGGUAGCCCAACAAUGGACAACAAGAGGCAUCUACUGCAAGUGCAAAAGAAUUGUGGUGAAAGCUGCCUGAUCAACAGCUAUAACCUGGCAGAAUUUCUCCUUCCAGCCUUACCUGAAAAUUGCUUAUUAUGAAAUACUAUACCACAAUGCUUCAUGCUUAUUCCAAUCUCAGAUUAAAGGCAAACUCUUUGUCCAAAACAGUACACACCCACAGGUGGGGGUGUAUAUGAGCAGUUUUGACAACGAACAACAAAAGUUGGACCUAAAUUUUUCACUUAGCACAAGCCUAGUAAUUUUAUUAUUGUUAUUAUUGGAUGUAGUUGCAUUGAGGAUUCUCUUAUUAGAGACAUAUCUUGGUUCAAGUAAUCAAUGGAAUGUGUGGGGGAAACACAUUUAAAAAUGAAUUUGGAAAUGUUUCCAGGAGUGGUGGUUUUACAAGAGGACUCAUCACAGAUUUUUUCACAGAAUCUUUCCUAAUCUUUACGAAGGUUUGAGGCUCUAACUCAGUUCUCGUAAUGGACUCUCUCUUGGUUGGAAAGAAGACAACCCAAAAUUCCAACAUUUGGUGAGUUGACAAAAGUGACAUGUGGUGUCUCUUUCAUUCUUGUAGCAGCUGUCUCACAUGAAAGGCAGUGAAUCAGAGUUCUCCGUGAGGACAGCAGGAGCUGGUCCCCCUGCCUUUAAGGUCACUCCCAGAGUCUUUCCCUACAAGUUGGCCUUGGCAUCUGCAAGAGCAGCAAAAACAGAACACACAGGGGCCCUCACACCACAAACCUAAAUAGUCUAAAAGUUAUAAGCCAAGCUAAUAAACCAUUAAAUAAAAUAGUCUACCUUCCCAUCUUGACAAAUAUACCUCUAUGACAACAAAAUUGAAAAAAGGAGUGCAGCUAUGGGAUUUUUUUUGAUUGCUAGUCAGCAAGACAUCAAAGAUGACUGAUAUUCAUUAUUACUGUGUAUGUCAGCAGUUCUUUUGACAGGCCAGUAAUGUAUAGAUGAGUCAUAAACACAUAUAUAACUCAUAAAUAUGUUUACUUCAUAAAAUACAAUAUUUCUUGUCUUCAUUUUUAUAAAAUACUUAAGUUAUUAUAGUUAAGGUUUUCCCAUAAAUUUCCUUAUAUUGACAGUAAUGCUAAAUUAGAUAAUCUUUUUUGAAUCAUCAUAGUUGUUAGAUUAUUUUCAGUAUUUUCAAUUUUGACAAACUUCUUUAUGUUGAGGCAGUAACUACUGGAACUGUCAAAAUUAUUACAGUAAAAUAAAUUCAGAGAUGGCCACUUUAUGUAUUAUUUUAUGUUCAAAUAUAACAUAAUCAUAAAUGAUAAACUAUAUUGGCUAUACAAAAUGUAACAAUAUUUUAAUUUAACCAUUCCAAUCGCCAUCUCAUUCAACUUCUGCCCUCUUUCAAAGUAAUAUGUAAAUCCAUAAAGAAUUUAGUUGUUGUUUUUUCAAUUUUUUCAAUGCUGAGUUAUAAAGAAAACCAAACACAGCAGGAUGUUGCUCAAUUUGUUAAAAUCUUCUUUCAAUAAAGACUACUGCCUGAUCUACGGUGGGCAGAAGAUAAUGUCUACAGAAAGUGUAUUCAGGGUCACAUACAUGUAAAUCUUUCCCAUUAUAGAGUGCAUGACAUUUAUUGGAAAGCUUUUGUGUGGCUUCCUAGUUUCUUUCUAGGUAGUAAAACUAUUUUCUCUAAAAUGUUUUGAAAUAUUUUUAAAUCACUUAUCAAAUGAAGUAACUCUACUUUGAUACUUCUGGGUUUUUAUGAAAUAAAACUUUUGUAAACAUUAUUAAUAGCAAACAACAGUUCACAUUAAAUGACCAUGGAUACACAAAUUCAAAGUUAGCUUCUGCAAAGACUAUUAUCAAUUCUUUCUUUGUGGAACUGUUGUUAUAUCACAUAAUUGUUGUAGUAUAUCUUUUCUAAAUUUAAUCUAAACAUUUUAGUAACAUUUAGUUGGCAUCGCCAUCAGAUGUCAAAAAGUAGCUUUAAGGUCAAUUUCAAUGUAUUUCCUUGGGAUGUUCCAUAUUUAGACAGAUUCAGAAAACAAAGUACAUCAUCUCUGAAUUGUUCCAAAGAAUAUCAUUGCUUUGGGUGAAUUGGAGGCUAUACAUCCUAAUAACAAACACACUACAUAACUUCAAAUAAGCUACUUGAAAAUAAACUGUAUUUGAAUUUCGAAGAGAUUUUAUGAUAACAUGUACUAUAACUAUGCUUAUCUAAUUUAAAAACUUUUAAAAUAUAUUUUCUAAAUGUAAUUCUGGGUUUAUUGAUGGAGAGAAAAGAGGAAUACUGCUGUUAGAAAGAGAAGAAAAUACAGGUGAUAACUUGACCAUGAAAAAUAAGCCUACAGAUCACUAAGAGUUGACUUUGUUCUUACAACAAAAAUAC
rnacentral:lncRNA from 10 species